rnacentral:rRNA from 1 species
CGUAGGGUGCGAGCGUUAAUCGGAAUUACUGGGCGUAAAGCGUGCGCAGGCGGUUUGUUAAGAUAGGCGUGAAAUCCCCGGGCUCAACCUGGGAACUGCGCUUAUGACUGGCAAGCUAGAGUACGGCAGAGGGGGGUGGAAUUCCACGUGUAGCAGUGAAAUGCGUAGAGAUGUGGAGGAACACCAAUGGCGAAGGCAGCCCCCUGGGUCGAUACUGACGCUCAUGCACGAAAGCGUGGGUAGCAAACAGGAUUAGAUACCCUGGUAGUCCAGCCCUAAACGAUGUCAACUAGGUGUUGGGAGGGUAAAACCUUUUAGUACCGGAGCUAACGCGUGAAGUUGACCGCCUGGGGAGUACGGCCGCAAGGUUA